rnacentral:lncRNA from 1 species
AUCGAGGCUGUAGGAAUGGUCUAGAGUCACCUUGUUCAGAGAUUUUCCGGACUCCACUUUUCAAGCAGGAUAUUUAGAAAAAGUGAAAGAAAGUGAAAGAGAUCAAACAGCAUCUUGAAUUUGGAUGUAUGUCUCAGAAGCAAGAAGUAGUGUGCACACACUACUGUUUAGAGUGGUCUGUGCCUCUGAGCCCUGAUACAUGGGCUAAAGGGAAGAGACCAGGUUGGGGCGGGUCUCAUGGGCUCUCCAGGCAGAAGUCUAUGGCUGUACCAGAGAUAAGUAAUUAACAAGCUUUAAUACAACAGCUGCUGUUCCUCCUGAUUUUAAAAAUAGAUGAGAUGCUUACCUCUCCUUCACAUCUCCCACUGGGAAGUAUUUGUCU